rnacentral:lncRNA from 1 species
GAUUUUAGAAUGAAUGUGAAAAAAAAAUUUUAAAAAUCGAAUCGAACCGAUCGAACCGACCGAACCGAACCGAACCAAAUCGGUUCGGUUCGAUUCGGUUAUUCCUCUUAUUCGGUUCGGUUCGGUUUGUGUAAAAUUCUGCAAUUCGGUUUUCGGUUAUUUCGGUUCGGUUCGGUUUUGAACCAAACCGACCGAAUGCUCACCCCUACCGGUGAGGAUGGAAGAACAAGCAGAGGUAAGAACAGCUCAAAUAUGAAUGAAGCCAGAGAAAUAAAUAACAAUCAAAAUAACUCAAAAUACCAACACAGUUCGAAAAUUAAAUUUCAUUAAAAAGAAAAGUAAUUACAGCCUACUUUACAGUCUACUCUACUGAAGGAAAAACAGUCCUUAAAGGACUUACAUACCUAGGGGCAUUAUCAUCUAGACUAGCAUCUACAUUAUCC